rnacentral:rRNA from 1 species
CCUACGGGUGGCAGCAGUGAGGAAUAUUGGUCAAUGGACGAGAGUCUGAACCAGCCAAGUAGCGUGAAGGAUGACUGCCCUAUGGGUUGUAAACUUCUUUUAUAAAGGAAUAAAACGAGGCACGUGUGCCUUUUUGCAUGUACUUUAUGAAUAAGGAUCGGCUAACUCCGUGCCAGCAGCCGCGGUAAUACGGAGGAUCCGAGCGUUAUCCGGAUUUAUUGGGUUUAAAGGGAGCGUAGAUGGGUUGUUAAGUCAGUUGUGAAAGGUUGCGGCUCAACCGUAAAAUUGCAAUUGAUACUGGCAGUCUUGAGUACAGUUGAGGUAGGCGGAAUUCGUGGUGUAGCGGUGAAAUGCUUAGAUAUCACGAAGAACCCCGAUUGCGAAGGCAGCUUACUAAACUGUGACUGACAUUGAUGCUCGAAAGUGUGGGUAUCAAACAGGAUUAGAUACCCGUGUAGUC